rnacentral:misc_RNA from 1 species
GAUGAAGAACGCAGCGAAAUGCGAUACGUAAUGUGAAUUGCAAAUUCAGUGAAUCAUCGAGUCUUUGAACGCACAUUGCGCCCCCUGGUAUUCCGGGGGGCAUGCCUGUCCGAGCGUCAUUGCUGCCCUCAAGCACGGCUUGUGUGUUGGGCCCCGUCCUCCGAUCCCGGGGGACGGGCCCGAAAGGCAGCGGCGGCACCGCGUCCGGUCCUCGAGCGUAUGGGGCUUUGUCACCCGCUCUGUAGGCCCGGCCGGCGCUUGCCGAUCAACCCAAAUUUUUUUAUGCAGGUUGACCUCGGAUCAGGUAGGGAUACCCGCUGAACUUAAGCAUAUCAAUAAGCGGAGGA